rnacentral:rRNA from 1 species
CCUUCGGGGUUAGUGGCGCACGGGUGCGUAACGCGUGGGGAACCUGCCUUUAGGUUUGGAAAUAACAGUUAGAAAAUGACUGCUAAUACCAAAUAAUGUCUUCGGACCAAAGAUUUAUCGCCUUUAGAUGGGCCCGCGUUGGAUUAGAUAGUUGGUGGGGUAAUGGCCUACCAAGUCUACGAUCAGUAGCUGGUUUGAGAGGAUGAUCAGCAACACUGGGACUGAGCACACGGCCCAACUCCUACGGGAGGCAGCAGUGGGGAAUCUUAGACAAUGGGCGCAAAGCCUGAUCUANCGAUGCCGCGUGAGUGAUGAAGGU